rnacentral:misc_RNA from 1 species
GUCAAUUCUCCCCACCACACCUUGACUUUUACCAACCCGGUAGGAAAGCUCGCGAAUUUUUACUCGGACCUCUGCAAAAAAUAGGUCGGAGCUUUUGAUGGAGUUAUUCCCAGGCCGGUGGAACGUUGAAACGGGGAAACAGGUGGAAUAAUUACGAUUACAGAAAAAGCACUUCUGAAUGGCACAUACAAGAUUCUUGUUCCCUUACUAAAUUAUCCUUGAACGAUCGUCGUAAUGCCUUUGGCUCUGGAAUGCAAACUUCGUAUGGCAUUCCUCCGUUCUCUAUCACCCAAAUGCUGCCGUGCUCUCCAGCGUAUAGGACCGUCAUCAAACCUUUUGCAACGUUGUACGAGCAAUAUCUGGGGACAUAGAACUCACGUUUGGAUUGGUAGUUGUUCGAGAUUCUUGACAAAGUCUGCUUUCAUAACCCUAGAUAAUAACUUAUUGGGACUGUCUAUUGUCAAAGCAGUUUCCGUUAGGCCCGGACAUAAGGUCAUUACUCGAAUACCGCUUUCUUCAAAGAUAUGCGCAGCCUGAAA